rnacentral:lncRNA from 1 species
ACCUUUGCUAGCCUGAUUAUGACCGUUUCUGCUCCCGGGCCUCAACCCACACCCAACACAAAAUUAAAGGCACCCGGGUCCCAAUGUUACCCCCACCACAUCAGGGUCUCUGGGCAGCAAGGGCAGCUGGGGCAGACCCUGGAAGUUUGUGGUCAGCCCAUUGGAUCACAUGCACCCGUUUCUUUUAAAACCGUGAAGAACUAAGUUGCCUGCUCCGUGGGGUCCCACGGCUCCUCCUGCACAGGGCCUGUGGGAGACUCUGGCCAAGAAAGCCCUGCUACCUAGUGACCGGGUCACCUAGCCAAAGCUUGUGUAUCAGGGUGAUUGUUUGCUGUGGACGUCUAAGUGGAUGGAGCUUAGUGCAGAACAGGGUGAGAGGGUGGUGACACUUGGGCACACCACUGUGUGUACGGACGGCUCGAUGCCUGCAGCCCUUUCCUUUUCAGUAUUUGAGCAGUUUGAUUGGAGGAUGUAUAAUCCAUCCACAAAAUUUACAAAUCAGAACUUAGGUUUUUCAUACUCUUACUGAUUUUCAAAAGUUACUGGGAGAUAUUAACUGGUUAAGGCCUCACUUACAAUUGUCCACUGCAGGUUUGAGCCCUUUAUUUGACACCUUAUGUGCAGAUCCCUCUCUGGUCUCAGCAGCUCACUCCAGAAGCAAGGGCUGCCCUCGAGACUGCACAACGGAGCAGGAUUAAUUGAUAGGCGCCUGGACAGGCGUUAGUCCUUCCUACUUCUCAUACCCCCCAACCCUCAGGAGUUAUCCAACGGCUCCGCCUUUUGCUCUCCUC